rnacentral:rRNA from 1 species
UACGAAGGGGGCUAGCGUUGCUCGGAAUGACUGGGCGUAAAGGGUGCGUAGGCGGGUCUUUUAAGUCAGGGGUGAAAUCCUGGAGCUCAACUCCAGAACUGCCUUUGAUACUGAAGAUCUUGAGUUCGGGAGAGGUGAGUGGAACUGCGAGUGUAGAGGUGAAAUUCGUAGAUAUUCGCAAGAACACCAGUGGCGAAGGCGGCUCACUGGCCCGAUACUGACGCUGAGGCACGAAAGCUAGGGGAGCAAACAGG